GCUUCAUUGUUAGCGAAGAAUAAUGGCGACCCUUCCUUUCCCGCCUGACCCUUCCCCUCCCCUGGACCUCUCCUCUACCCUCGACGCCUCUUCACCUACCUACACCAGCCCCACGUCGGUGAUCAUUCUGGUCCCGGCGGCCAAUCAUCUCUCUUCUUCCCCGGCGUCGGCGGGGCCCUCUGGGUGCGGUGGUCAUUCCAAGGCGGGCAUGGCGGGUGUUGGUGCUGUUCCGGUGGGCGCGGGCGUGGGUGCUGACCCGUGGGCGUGGGUGCGAUUCCGCAUCCGAGUCGGCUCUCCUAUAAGGAAGCGCUGGUGUCCUCACAACCCUUUGUUUCUCAUUUCGUGGGAGGGAGUGCUGGUGGCGGCUGGGAGACUGUCCAGAGUCGUUGUGGCCGCCGCUUGGCUCGCCGCCCUCCUCGGCCAGUGCCCAGACCCGUUCCGGUUGAUCUGCGGGGCAGAUGUUUCAACUGCUUCUCUGCUGAGCACCGG
rnacentral:misc_RNA from 1 species